CACCAUCCGGUAAGGCUAAAUACUCCUGAGAGACCGAUAGUGAACAAGUACCGUGAGGGAAAGGUGAAAAGUACCCUGAAUAAGGGGGUGAAAUAGAACCUGAAACCAUACGCUUACAAGCGGUUGGAGCCAAAUAAUUUUGGUGACAGCGUGCCUUUUGCAUAAUGAGCCUACGAGUUACUCCUCACUGGCAAGGUUAAGGCUUUAAGAGCCGCAGCCGGAGCGAAAGCGAGUCUGA
rnacentral:rRNA from 1 species